UACGGAGGGUGCAAGCGUUAUCCGGAUUCACUGGGUUUAAAGGGUGCGUAGGUGGGCUUGUAAGUCAGUGGUGAAAUCUCCGAGCUUAACUCGGAAACUGCCAUUGAUACUAUAGGUCCUGAAUCUUCUGGAGGUCAGCGGAAUAUGUCAUGUAGCGGUGAAAUGCUUAGAUAUUGGGAGGAACACCAGUGGCGAAGGCGGCUCACUGGACCGGUACUGACGCUGAGGCGCGAAAGCGUGGGUAGCAAACAGG
rnacentral:rRNA from 1 species